CUCGUAGGCGGUUCGAUAAGUCGGGUGUGAAAUCUCCAGGCUCAACCUGGAGGCGCCACUCGAUACUGUCGUGACUUGAGUUCGGUAGAGGAGUAUGGAAUUCCCGGUGUAGCGGUGAAAUGCGCAGAUAUCGGGAGGAACACCCGUAGCGAAGGCGGUACUCUGGGCCGAAACUGACGCUGAGGAGCGAAAGCGUGGGGAGCGAACA
rnacentral:rRNA from 1 species